CUCGUAUGUACGGGACCGCCUCUCCUGGUAUGCCCCACGGAGGACCCUACGGUCUGCAGAUAAUAAUAUCUUGGAGGUCCCAGGCCUCAAGGAGGUUAAACUGGCCUCAACCAGGGCCAGGACCUUUUUGGCUUUGGCCCCAGUUCUAUCACAGGAGACCAGGGCCCUGCGGGACUUGACAUCCUUCCGCAGGGCCUGCAAUAUGGAGCUGGCUUUCGGUCUGGGCCCAGUUUGACCCCCCUCUAUGGGACCCUGCAAGAUGCCUCUUUGGCCCUUUUAUCGGCUCAUGUGGGACCAACAUGGAUAGCUGGCCCUGAUGAAUACUUGAGGUCCCCGAUCCCUAUGGUUAUAAUUCAUGGGCAGUCAUUUAAUUUUAUCAUAAUUCUAAUUUUUAAGCUGUAUUUGAAUCAAUUGUUUGAUUGUGUUUUAAUGUAUUUGAUAUUUGAUGUUAGCCGCCCUGAGCCCGAUCUUGGCUGGGGAGGGUGGGGUAUAAAUAAAAAUUUACUUUACUUACUUCCUUACUUACAUAUGAACCUGCCCAGGUUUUGAGAUCUUCAGAGGAACCCCCUUAUCUCAGUCUUCCACAGGCACACUUGGUGGGGACAUGAGAGACGGCUUUCUCCAUGGGUGCUCCCAGAUUCUAGAACACCCUUUCUGGAGAAGGUAGAACAGCUCCUUUGUUGUCCUUCCAUCAACAUGUGAAGACUUUCUUAUUCCAACAGGCUCUGGGGAACUGACUGCUCUUUAAUGAAUGAGCUGAUGUUGUGCUGUUUUUAUUGUAAUAAUCUAUGUGGCUUUAAAGGGACGUGGGUGGUGCUGUGAGUUAAACCACAAAGCCUAGGACUUGCCGAUCAGAAGGUCGGUGGUUCGAAUCUCCGCAACGGGCUGAGCUCCCGUUGCUCAGUCCCUGCUCCUGCCAACCUAGCAGUUCGAAAGCACGUCAAAGUGCAAGUAGAUAAAUAGGUACCGCUCCAGCGGGAAGGUAAACGACAUUUCCAAGCGCUGCUCUGGUUCCCUGGAAGCGACUUAGUCAUGCUGGCCACAUGACCUGGAAGCUGUAUGCCGGCUCCCUCGGCCAAUAAAGCGAGAUGAGCACUGCAACCCCAGAGUCAGUCAUGACUGGACCUAAUGGUCAGGGGUCCCUUUACCUUUACUAUGUGGCUUUAAAUGGAUCUUGUUAUGUAUGUACAUACGUAUGUAUGUUAAUGAUCCCCCCUAUGUUUUUAGCUGUUCCUAUUUUAAGCUGCUUUGAGUCCCUAUCAGGUAAAAAUGCAGAAUCAUCGUCAUCAUCCAUACUAUGCGCUUCUAGAUGCUGCCAAGAAUUGCUUUCUCUUGAAUAUGGCAUAUAUAUAUAUGGCUUGGUUCAACAGAUUCCUCUUUUGUUCAGAGCUGACCAGCUGUAAAUAUAGCAGAAGUGACAGUACUGUUUGUUUGUUUUUCAGGUCCUGGGUUUCCAUCUCAUAUUUUCAUGGUGCUCCACUUUCAGUGCUGUGGAGCUUCUUGAAGCCUGUUUCAAGCAUAAAAUUAUAAAAGAAUUGUUCCCCACAGGCUUUCUAAUGCCAUAGCAAAUCCAGUAGCAAUGCACUCUGCUGGUCAACAGAUGGCAGCAUGAAACUACCCAACAGAAAACGAACAACUUUGGAAGUUAAGCAAUUAAGG